AAAGUACUCCCUCCGUCCCAAAAUUCUUGUCUUAGAUUUGUCUAGAUACGGAUGUAUCAUUGAUACAUCCGUAUCUAGACAAAUCUAAGACAAGAAUUUUGGGACAGAGGGAAUAUUUG
rfam:Triticum aestivum genome assembly, contig: Triticum_aestivum_CS42_TGACv1_scaffold_375868_5AL